UGACCUACGGGGCGCAGCAGUGGGGAAUAUUGCACAAUGGGCGAAAGCCUGAUGCAGCAACGCCGCGUGAAGGAAGACGGUUUUCGGAUUGUAAACUUCUAUCAAUAGGGAGGAAAGAAAUGACGGUACCUAAAUAAGGAGCCCCGGCUAACUACGUGCCAGCAGCCGCGGUAAUACGUAGGGGGCAAGCGUUAUCCGGAAUUACUGGGUGUAAAGGGAGAGUAGGCGGCAAGGUAAGCGAUAUGUGACAGCCUUAAGCUUAACUUACGGAUUGCAUAACGAACUAUCUAGCUAGAGUACAGGAG
rnacentral:rRNA from 1 species